GACGAACGCUGGCGGCGUGCUUAACACAUGCAAGUCGAACGGAAAGGCCCUGCUUUUGUGGGGUGCUCGAGUGGCGAACGGGUGAGUAACACGUGAGUAACCUGCCCUUGACUUUGGGAUAACUUCAGGAAACUGGGGCUAAUACCGGAUAGGAGCUCCUGCUGCAUGGUGGGGGUUGGAAAGUUUCGGCGGUUGGGGAUGGACUCGCGGCUUAUCAGCUUUUUGGUGGGGUAGUGGCUUACCAAGGCUUUGACGGGUAGCCGGCCUGGGGGGGUGACCGGCCACAUUGGGACUGAGAUACGGCCCAGACUCCUACGGGAGGCAGCAGUGGGGAAUAUUGCACAAUGGGCGGAAGCCUGAUGCAGCAACGCCGCGUGCGGGAUGACGGCCUUCGGGUUGUAAACCGCUUUCGCCUGUGACGAAGCGUGAGUGACGGUAAUGGGUAAAGAAGCACCGGCUAACUACGUG
rnacentral:rRNA from 1 species